rnacentral:rRNA from 1 species
AGAACUAACAGGAUUCCCCUAGUAACUGCGAGUGAAGCGGGAAGAGCUCAAAUUUAAAAUCUGGCGGUCUUGCGGCCGUCCGAGUUGUAAUCUAGAGAAGCGUUUUCCGUGCUGGAAACCGUGUCCAAGUCUCUUGGAAUGGAGCGUCGUAGAGGGUGACAAUCCCGUCCUUGACACGGAUUUCUGGUGCAUUUGUGAUGCGCUCUCAAAGAGUCGAGUUGUUUGGGAAUGCAGCUCAAAAAGGGUGGUAAAUUCCAUCUAAAGCUAAAUAUGGGCGAGAGACCGAUAGCGAACAAGUACCGUGAGGGAAAGAUGAAAAGAACUUUGAAAAGAGAGUUAAACAGUACGUGAAAUUGUUGAAAGGGAAACGAUUCAAGUCAGCCGCGUUGGUCGGAAAUCAACCUUGCACUUGUGCGAGGCUCACUUUCUGGUUGAUGGGUCAGCAUCAAUUUUGACUGUCGGAUAAAGGCCAUGGGGAAUGUGGCAUCUUUGGAUGUGUUAUAGCCCCUUGUCGCAUGCGAUGGUUGGGAUUGAGGAACGCAGCACGCCACUAUGGUCGGAACCUUUUGGUUCACGCAACGUGCUUGGGAUGCUGGCAUAAUGGCUUGAACCGACCCGUCUUGAAACACGGACCAAGGAGUCCAACAUGCCUGCGAGUGUUUGGGUGGAAAACCCGAGCGCGAAGUGAAAGUAAAAUGUCGAGAUCCCUGUCAUGGGGA